rnacentral:rRNA from 1 species
GACGAACGCUGGCGGCGUGCCUAAUACAUGCAAGUAGAACGCUGAAGAGAGGAGCUUGCUCUUCUUGGAUGAGUUGCGAACGGGUGAGUAACGCGUAGGUAACCUGCCUUGUAGCGGGGGAUAACUAUUGGAAACGAUAGCUAAUACCGCAUAACAAUGGAUGACACAUGUCAUUUAUUUGAAAGGGGCAAUUGCUCCACUACAAGAUGGACCUGCGUUGUAUUAGCUAGUAGGUGAGGUAACGGCUCACCUAGGCGACGAUACAUAGCCGACCUGAGAGGGUGAUCGGCCACACUGGGACUGAGACACGGCCCAGACUCCUACGGGAGGCAGCAGUAGGGAAUCUUCGGCAAUGGGGGCAACCCUGACCGAGCAACGCCGCGUGAGUGAAGAAGGUUUUCGGAUCGUAAAGCUCUGUUGUAAGUCAAGAACGAGUGUGAGAGUGGAAAGUUCACACUGUGACGGUAGCUUACCAGAAAGGGACGGCUAACUACGUGCCAGCAGCCGCGGUAAUACGUGGGUCCCGAGCGUUGUCCGGAUUUAUUGGGCGUAAAGCGAGCGCAGGCGGUUUGAUAAGUCUGAAGUUAAGGCUGUGGCUCAACCAUAGUUCGCUUUGGAAACUGUCAAACUUGAGUGCAGAAGGGGAGAGUGGAAUUCCAUGUGUAGCGGUGAAAUGCGUAGAUAUAUGGAGGAACACCGGUGGCGAAAGCGGCUCUCUGGUCUGUAACUGACGCUGAGGCUCGAAAGCGUGGGGAGCGAACAGGAUUAGAUACCCUGGUAGUCCACGCCGUAAACGAUGAGUGCUAGGUGUUGGAUCCUUUCCGGGAUUCAGUGCCGCAGCUAACGCAUUAAGCACUCCGCCUGGGGAGUACGACCGCAAGGUUGAAACUCAAAGGAAUUGACGGGGGCCCGCACAAGCGGUGGAGCAUGUGGUUUAAUUCGAAGCAACGCGAAGAACCUUACCAGGUCCUGACAUCCCGAUGCUAUUUCUAGAGAUAGAAAGUUACUUCGGUACAUCGGUGACAGGUGGUGCAUGGUUGUCGUCAGCUCGUGUCGUGAGAUGUUGGGUUAAGUCCCGCAACGAGCGCAACCCCUAUUGUUAGUUGCCAUCAUUCAGUUGGGCACUCUAGCGAGACUGCCGGUAAUAAACCGGAGGAAGGUGGGGAUGACGUCAAAUCAUCAUGCCCCUUAUGACCUGGGCUACACACGUGCUACAAUGGUUGGUACAACGAGUUGCGAGUCGGUGACGGCAAGCUAAUCUCUUAAAGCCAAUCUCAGUUCGGAUUGUAGGCUGCAACUCGCCUACAUGAAGUCGGAAUCGCUAGUAAUCGCGGAUCAGCACGCCGCGGUGAAUAUGUUCCCGGGCCU